rnacentral:rRNA from 1 species
UACGGGGGAUGCAAGCGUUAUCCGGAUUUACUGGGUGUAAAGGGGGCGCAGACGGCAAUGCAAGCCAGGAGUGAAAGCCCGGGGCCCAACCCCGGGACUGCUCUUGGAACUGCAUAGCUGGAGUGCUGGAGAGGCAAGCGGAAUUCCUAGUGUAGCGGUGAAAUGCGUAGAUAUUAGGAAGAACACCAGUGGCGAAGGCGGCUUGCUGGACAGUAACUGACGUUGAGGCUCGAAAGCGUGGGGAGCAAACAGG